rnacentral:rRNA from 1 species
GACGAACGCUGGCGGCGUGCUUAACACAUGCAAGUCGAGCGGAAAGGCCACUUUGGUGGUGCUUGAGCGGCGAACGGGCGAGUAACAAGCGCGUAAUUAGCCCCUGGCUUUGUGAGAGAUAACGGAAACGAAGAGGAAUAAAGGACGUGUCGCAUCUCCGCCUGCGUUUGUGUGGAUGGUUGUUCGGCCAGGGAUGUGCUCGCGGCCUAUCAGCUUGAUGGUGUGGUGGUGGCUUACCAUGGCUUUGACGGGUAGCCGGCCUGAGAGGGUGACCGGCCACACUGGGACUGAGAUACGGCCCAGACUCCUACGGGAGGCAGCAGUGGGGAAUAUUGGACAAUGGGCGGAAGCCUGAUCCAGCAACGCCGCGUGAGGGAUGACGGCCUUCGGGUUGUAAACCUCUUUCGGUACCGACGAAGCGCAAGUGACGGUAAGUACAGAAGAAGCACCGGCCAACUACGUG